UACGUAGGGAGCAAGCGUUGUCCGGAAUCAUUGGGCGUAAAGCGCGCGUAGGCGGCCCGAUAAGUCCGCUGUGAAAGUCAACGGCUCAACUGUUGGAUGCCGGUGGAUACUGUCGGGCUAGAGUACGGAAGAGGCAAGUGGAAUUCCUGGUGUAGCGGUGGAAUGCGCAGGUAUCAGGAGGAACACCUAUAGCGAAGGCAGCUUGCUGGGACGUUACUGACGCUAAGGCGCGAAAGCGUGGGGAGCGAACAGG
rnacentral:rRNA from 1 species